UACGUAGGGUGCAAGCGUUAAUCGGAAUUACUGGGCGUAAAGCGUGCGCAGGCGGUUCUAUAAGACAGAUGUGAAAUCCCCGGGCUCAACCUGGGAACUGCAUUUGUGACUGUAGAGCUGGAGUACGGCAGAGGGGGAUGGAAUUCCGCGUGUAGCAGUGAAAUGCGUAGAUAUGCGGAGGAACACCGAUGGCGAAGGCAGCUCGCUGGGACGGUACUGACGCUGAGGCGCGAAAGCGUGGGGAGCAAACAGG
rnacentral:rRNA from 1 species